rnacentral:lncRNA from 1 species
ACGAUGACAUUAAUUGAUAUUAAUGUGCAAAUUUGUAGAUCAUGGUUAGAACUAAAGGAUUGGUCGGACUUUAAGAAAAGUUUUAGGAAGAGCCUUAGGUAGACAGGUUGUUGGUGAUGAGGAAGGAGCCCCUCAGCGUCAAAGGCCCAUAACAUCGGCAUGUAGACAAUGGACAACUUCAGCUAUUGUUGAGGAUGUUGACCAUGUGGAUCAUGCUGCUGACGAGGUUCAUGAGGAGCCACAGGAGCCCGUUAUGGAUCAUGUAGGUCCUGAUACAAAGCGUUUUCCAGACGGACCCCAUGAUACAUCAGUGUUAACGUUAUACGCUGAUCAUAUGAAUCCCUUCCUCUUUUUCCAAUAUCUGUGUUUGACCUCAUUAUCACCUCCACAAAACCAAUAUCAUACACAACAAAACGAGCCUGAUGCAAAACGUCAUCAUCAUGGGUAGCAAACACCUACAAAAGGG